GGCGCGGUGGCGCAGUGGUUAAGUGCGCUUGACUUGGGACCAAAAGGUCCUGAGUUUGAGUCCUUGCCAUGAUU